rnacentral:rRNA from 1 species
GAUGAACGCUGGCGGCGUGCCUAAUACAUGCAAGUCGAGCGAACGGACGAGAAGCUUGCUUCUCUGAUGUUAGCGGCGGACGGGUGAGUAACACGUGGAUAACCUACCUAUAAGACUGGGAUAACUUCGGGAAACCGGAGCUAAUACCGGAUGAUAUUUUGAACCGCAUGGUUCAAAAGUGAAAGACGGUCUUGCUGUCACUUAAAGAUGGAUCCGCGCUGCAUUAGCUAGUUGGUAAGGUAACGGCUUACCAAGGCAACGAUGCAUAGCCGACCUGAGAGGGUGAUCGGCCACACUGGAACUGAGACACGGUCCAGACUCCUACGGGAGGCAGCAGUAGGGAAUCUUCCGCAAAGGGCGAAAGCCUGACGGAGCAACGCCGCGUGAGUGAUGAAGGUCUUCGGAUCGUAAAACUCUGUUAUUAGGGAAGAACAUAUGUGUAAGUAACUGUGCACAUCUUGACGGUACCUAAUCAGAAAGCCACGGCUAACUACGUG